GAUGAACGCUGGCGGCGUGCCUAAUACAUGCAAGUCGAGCGAACGGACGAGAAGCUUGCUUCUCUGAUGUUAGCGGCGGACGGGUGAGUAACACGUAGAUAACCUACCUAUAAGACUGGGAUAACUUCGGGAAACCGGAGCUAAUACCGGAUAAUAUUUUGAACCGCAUGGUUCAAAAGUGAAAGACGGUCUUGCUGUCACUUAUAGAUGGAUCCGCGCUGCAUUAGCUAGUUGGUAAGGUAACGGCUUACCAAGGCAACGAUGCAUAGCCGACCUGAGAGGGUGAUCGGCCACACUGGAACUGAGACACGGUCCAGACUCCUACGGGAGGCAGCAGUAGGGAAUCUUCCGCAAUGGGCGAAAGCCUGACGGAGCAACGCCGCGUGAGUGAUGAAGGUCUUCGGAUCGUAAAACUCUGUUAUUAGGGAAGAACAUAUGUGUAAGUAACUGUGCACAUCUUGACGGUACCUAAUCAGAAAGCCACGGCUAACUACGUG
rnacentral:rRNA from 1 species